rnacentral:misc_RNA from 1 species
UUUAACCAUUUCUCGUAACAAUUAAGGUUGAAAUGCACAAGUAAAUUAUAAAUUGUCAUACCCCCGCAUAGUACUAUCGCAACUAUUUUAACAAAGGAAAGAGAAAUUCUGUAUCAUCGAGCUGGUUGCGCGGACAAAUUUAAAAGUAAGCGCGCAAAGGUAUAGAUCGUCAGGUAGACCAUUCAGAUUACGCAGGACAAAACUUGUUCACAACAAUCUAUAUUCAGUUUUCUACAUCCUUGCGCGCCGGGAGUAUUGAUCCAGCGACAUUUAACAAAUGAUGGCACAUCCUUAACCGCACCCAUGCUCCUGCCGAUAUUAUCUCGACGUUUAUUCAUAUUUAUUUUCUACUCCUCAUUGUUACUCCUUUGAGAGUCAAUAAUUUUCAGAAAAGAGGCAGUUCAUAAAAAUGAAUAUGAAACGAUAAACAUGAAAGAAUUAUUCAAUGAUUAUUUAUAUAAUCGUACGCAAAAAAUUUGUAUGAGUAAAGCGAUUGUUUAUCGUUUUGAAUGCAUGGAUACAUUUUGUGAAUGUAUAUGUAUUACGAAUACAUGUACACGAAUUAUUGAAUGCGAGUCUAAUUUCAUUUCGAAAAAGAUAUCCUGAAGUAUAUUCGUUGUUAAAAUAUCGAUUCAAAAUGUCAAUUUAACUCCUGUUCAAGACCGACUAUUCAUGCAGUCCUUGAUAUAUUUUCUUCAUUAUAAAACUUCAACCUAACCAAGAGGAAAUGGCUUUUAUUAUAGAAAACAGACAAGUCAGUGAAAUAAAUAAUAAAGGCAAAGAACAAUUUCUUUCUUUUGAAAUGAAAGAGGAUUAUAGCUUUAAGUAUGUACCUGAAAGUCAUUUUAAGCAUAUAGUAAAAAAUGUUCAGAGACAAAGACGUAAAGAAGAUGAGGAACGUAUCUGGACUUCAUUUAUAAAAGAACAGGAGUUAAAUAAUUUUGGUUUUUGUAAACAAGAUGAUCACCGAUCUAUGCUAAAUGUUAAAGACCUGUUGCAAGAAAACAUACAAGACGUAGAUACAGAACUUAAGAGACUGCAAGAAGAUGCUCUUCCUGAACGAAAUAAAAGAAUUCAUAAUAACAAAUCUGGUAUUAGAAGGGAAAAGAUUCAUAUAGAAGCAAACCAAUCGAAGAGUGACUCUCCAAAAGAAAAGUUAUUAAUAAAGGAUAAAAGUAAUGCAGGUACUAAUGUCUCAAUUCCAAUUUCACGAGAAGAUAAUGUUUCUCCAUACAAAGAAUCUGAAGGAUUCAAAAAGAUUUCUAGAUCAAAAACUAAAAAAUCUCGGUCAGAUUCUUUGAUCAUGCAAAAGAAGUAUUACACAAAUGAACUUCUUCGUGCAACCAACCAUUUUGAAAAUAACUCAGACUCAGACUCCAGUAAUAAUAAAGAUGAUGUUGUCUAUAUACAACCAGACCCAUUCAUGAUACAAAAAAUUUUAUCCAUGCAAAAAAAAGUUGCUGAGUUAUUAAAUGAAAUUUCAUUUAGAUUGUGCAGAAUUCCUUUGCCAGACGGUGAUAAUGAUUUAAAAAGAAGACAACAGCAGACUGUAGAGUUUGCGAUAUGGUUUUCAAGAAAUUAUCUGUACAAUCUUAACAGACUUGUUACAAGCAUUCAAAGACACAUCAGGAUCGUGUCUUCCAGGGUAGGAUUAAAUCGACAUAAGAACAUUGCACUUCAUCAAGACAUGAUCAGACAAAAACUGAUCACUGCUCAUCAAUUAUUAGUUCAGGCUUUAAAUGCUUAUUGUAAGCAUAUCCCUAACUCCAUUCUCGAAAGUCAUUGUACAAAACUUCGUGAUGUAUUACAAGUUGUUUAUGAUCUGGGAGAUAUUUGUGAUAAAGUUGAGAUCUCUGCCAAUUAUUUUUGUUCAGGAGAUACGACUAUCACAUCCCUGGGAAAGGAUCUUCGAGAAAAAUGUGAUACUAUUUUGUCUAACUUAAAAUUAAGUUUAGAGAAUAAAAAUCGACUUCCACAAUAUAAAAAUAGUGAAUCUACUGUGACUCUGGCACCAGUAUCAUCACGCCACAAAGGACACGUUAAUCGAAAAAAUUUGUCUGGUCGGCUAAGCAUGUACAAUAUGGACGUUAAAAUAUCCAAGAAUAAUCAAAAGAAAAAGAAUAUUUUAAGAAGAAAAAGCUAUACUUGUCAAAAAGAAACAAAGAACAAUGUUGUAGAAUCUAAGAAUUUGUAUGUCCAACAUUGUUCAGUACCUGAAUUAUUGUAUCCUAGUCCUGUAUCAUGUACAUCAUCUUCUAAAGAGAUAGUUCAAACUGGUUCCAUGAAAAAUGCAAGCUGCCUAAAAGAAGAUGAAAUUAAAACUAUGAUGGAUGGGGUAUCACUAGAUUCUGAACAUGAUAGUAACCGAAACACCCAUACCAAAUAUAAAAAUGUGGAACAGCCUACUGCGACAAGGAAGAAAUCUUCUGUAGACAUAUGUCAAUCAAAGCAUACAAAAAAGAAAGAAAUAUGUCAAAAAGUCGAGGAUGUUACUAACGACGAUGAUUUAUUUAAAAAAGUAACAGCCAUUAGCAAAGAACAUUUAGCUACUCUAGCUCCUGUGUUAAGCGGUUUGGUCACGUUAGUUUCAAAAAAGAAAAUUGAAUCAAAAGAGAAACCAGUUUCGGAAACAUCAGUGGAGGCACUAAUUGAAUUUUUGCAAAAAUAUCAAUCUCCUAAAGAUUCCGAUACUAAAGCACCGUUGACAGACGAAGAUUCUGACCAAUAUGACUCGAAAUUAAAUGGGUCAUCUAAUGUUCAGAAACAGGAUGCAAAUGUCCGACUGAUUUGCAUGUCAUCUACGGAUAAAAUUUCUAAAACGACACAAUGCAAUGUUUCAUGUCAGGCAGAUUGUGAAACUACAUUGAAGGAUAAUGAUGACAAAAAGACUGCGAAUACCAAAGAUAAAGUAAUGUUAACUGUUUCAAAAGAAACCGAAUUACAAUUUCUAUCCUAUAGAUUGGAAUAUCAAAAACAAUGUCAGUCAAAGCCAAUGUAUUCUAGUAAUACUCAAAAUAAACCAUGGAACAUUGUAGCAUGGAUCUCUGACAAAUUAAUAGAAGAACUAAUCACUGAGAUAACAACAGAAUUGCAGAUGAAUGAAUGCAGCGCCAAUGAAGAUAGAAUGAGACAAGCAAUUUUGAGAUUAUACAAAGAUUUGUUACGUUACGGUGAAAAUUUAAAAUAUACAGACAAGGCAUACUUUCGGUAUAAAAUUCGUAGCAAUUUUAAAGAAAAUAAAGAUAUAACCGAUCAAAAGCAAAUCGAAUUGCAAUUACAGAAGGGGCAAAAGUUAUUGCAAGAACAACGAGUUGUAUAAUUAUCUGUAACAAAACUGUAAUUCUACAAUGUUCACGUCGUUAAAAUUAACAUCAAAUUUGAAGUAUUUUCUGAACAAAAAUUAUCAACUACUACACAAAUGUUCCUAAACUCGAAGAAAGCGACUUGGAAGAACAGUUUGUAAAAGGAAGUGGACCCGGUGGUCAAGCAACAAACAAAAC